CCUACGGGGGGCAGCAGUGGGGAAUAUUGCACAAUGGGCGCAAGCCUGAUGCAGCGACGCCGCGUGGGGGAUGACGGCCUUCGGGUUGUAAACUCCUUUCGUUAGGGACGAAGCCGCACCUUUUUUGGGUGUGGUGACGGUACCUUUGUUAAGAAGCACCGGCUAACUACGUGCCAGCAGCCGCGGUAAUACGUAGGGUGCGAGCGUUGUCCGGAAUUACUGGGCGUAAAGAGCUCGUAGGUGGUUUGUUGCGUCGUCUGUGAAAUUCCGGGGCUUAACUUCGGGGUGGCAUGCGAUACGG
rnacentral:rRNA from 1 species